rnacentral:rRNA from 1 species
UACGUAGGGGGCAAGCGUUGUCCGGAAUCAUUGGGCGUAAAGAGCGUGUAGGCGGCUUGGCAAGUCUGGUGUGAAAUCUUGCGGCUCAACCGCAAGCGGUCACUGGAAACUGCCUCGCUAGAGUCCGGAAGAGGAGAGCGGAAUUCCUGGUGUAGCGGUGGAAUGCGCAGAUAUCAGGAAGAACACCCGUGGUGAAGGCGGCUCUCUGGGACGGUACUGACGCUGAGACGCGAAAGCGUGGGGAGCGAACAGG